rnacentral:rRNA from 1 species
GGGCCCGCACAAGCGGUGGAGCAUGUGGUUUAAUUCGACGCAACGCGAAGAACCUUACCAGGUCUUGACAUCCUGCGAACUUUCUAGAGAUAGAUUGGUGCCUUCGGGAACGCAGUGACAGGUAGUGCAUGGCUGUCGUCAGCUCGUGUCGUGAGAUGUUGGGUUAAGUCCCGCAACGAGCGCAACCCACGUCUUUAGUUGCCAGCAUUUAGUUGGGCACUCUAGAGAGACUGCCGGUGAUAAACCGGAGGAAGGUGUGGAUGACGUCAAGUCAUCAUGCCCCUUACAUCCUGGGCUACACACGUGCUACAAUGGCCGGUACAGAGAGCAGCCACUACGCGAGUAGGAGCGAAUCUUCAAAGCCGGUCUCAGUUCGGAUCGCAGUCUGCAACUCGACUGCGUG